rnacentral:rRNA from 1 species
AUAUGUCCUAUUAGCUAGUUGGCGGGAUAAAAGCCCACCAAGGCGAUGUAUAGGUAGCUGGUCUAAGAGGAUGAACAGCCACAAUGGGAUUGAGAUACGGCCCAUAUUCCUACGGGAAGCAGCAGUAGGGAAUCUUCCACAAUGGGCGAAAGCCUGAUGGAGCAAUGCCAUGUGAAUGAUGAAGGCCAGACAGGUCGUAAAGUUCUUUUAGAGGGGAAAAAUUUGAUGGUACCCUCUGAAUAAGUGACAGCAAACUAUGUGCCAGCAGCUGCGGUAAUACAUAGGUCGCGAGCGUUAUUCGGAUUUAUUGGGCGUAAAGCAAGCGCAGAGCGGAUGAAUAAGUUCUGCAUUAAAAGCAGCUGCUUAACAGUUGUUUGUGCUCGAAUACUAUUCAUCUAG